rnacentral:rRNA from 1 species
UACGUAGGGUGCGAGCGUUAAUCGGAAUUACUGGGCGUAAAGCGUGCGCAGGCGGUUCGUUAUGUCCGCUGUGAAAGCCCCGGGCUCAACCUGGGAAUGGCAAUGGAAACUGGCGAGCUAGAGUGUGGCAGAGGGGGGUGGAAUUCCGCGUGUAGCAGUGAAAUGCGUAGAGAUGCGGAGGAACACCGAUGGCGAAGGCAGCCCCCUGGGCUAGCACUGACGCUCAGGCACGAAAGCGUGGGGAGCAAACAGG